AUGGUGCUGGCAUUCCACAAGUUGCGGGCGGAGCUGGCUAUGGUUAUGGUUUGUCUCCUAUUUACCCAGGUGGAGUCCCUGGCCAGCUGGGCUAUGGUGGCAAACCUCCCAAGCCGUAUGGCUACAGAGGCCGCAAGAGGAAGUAGCCCUGACAGACUGCCUACCAUUCACCUCAUGAACUUUGGUGCUACUGCCUGGUCUCGAAUGUACCCCCUCACCCCGAGAAAAGCAGAUUCCACCACCACCGCCAUCGUCACCGCCGCCCUGUGCCUUUCUGCCCCACAGACCCCAAACAGCCCUCCUCCCUCUCUCACUGGUGCUACACCCAGCCGCCCACUUCCUGGGCGGUGGGGGGGCCUCUUUGGUGCUGCGGCCGAGGAGGGCCGCUUUCGGAGGAGGGGGGGAAGAUGCCCGAGCACUUUAGCCCACUCCUGAGCCCUGUGGGGGGGGUCAGUAGUCACACUGGCCAGUUGGCCCCACUCCCUUUCCCAGUCUACACCCCCCCUCUCUCUCUCCAGGCUCCAGUUUUUCUGGGGGGAGAAUGCAACUGGGUUGCCAUGGGAGCCCCUCCCCUGGCACACUGCCUGCGUAUCGGCAGGGGAGGGGGAGCAGGCCGGGCUGGGGGGUCGGUGCCAACAGGAUUAACCUUAAUCCUCCAGCUGCUGCCUGUCAGGGCCGCAGCGGAUUAGCACAGCCCAGGCCACAUCCGGCCUUUCAAGCAAGAGAGCCAGAGGCCACACCGUCCAGGUCCGAGCAAAGAGGCCGUCCUGGGGGUCCCCCGCCCCUCCCCACGGGACCGUGGCCGACCUGCUCCACGACUCUUCAUGUUUAAUCACUUCGAUGUAACUGGGAUGGGACACUUUUUAUAAAGAGGAACAGUAAACCGCUUUCCGGGAAAAAAAGAAUUAAAUAAAACCUGACUAAUAAAUAACUUUUUAAAGGAACAUUUCUUGUGCUUUUUCCUCCUGGAGACGUACGGUCUGGAA
rnacentral:lncRNA from 1 species